rnacentral:rRNA from 1 species
UACGUAGGGUCCGAGCGUUGUCCGGAAUUACUGGGCGUAAAGAGCUCGUAGGUGGUUUGUCGCGUUGUUCGUGAAAACUCACAACUCAAUUGUGGGCGUGCGGGCGAUACGGGCAGACUAGAGUACUGCAGGGGAGACUGGAAUUCCUGGUGUAGCGGUGGAAUGCGCAGAUAUCAGGAGGAACACCGGUGGCGAAGGCGGUUCUCUGGGCCUUACCUGACGCUGAGGAGCGAAAGCGUGGGGAGCGAACAGG